rnacentral:rRNA from 1 species
CUGCCCUUUGUACACACCGCCCGUCGCUACUACCGAUUGAAUGGCUCAGUGAGGCGUCCGGACUGGCCCAGAGAGGUGGGCAACUACCACUCAGGGCCGGAAAGCUCUCCAAACUCGGUCAUUUAGAGGAAGUAAAAGUCGUAACAAGGUCUCCGUUGGUGAACCAGCGGAGGGAUCAUUACCGAGUUUACAACUCCCAAACCCCUGUGAACAUACCACUUGUUGCCUCGGCGGAUCAGCCCGCUCCCGGUAAAACGGGACGGCCCGCCAGAGGACCCCUAAAACUCUGUUUCUAUAUGUAACUUCUGAGUAAAACCAUAAAUAAAUCAAAACUUUCAACAACGGAUCUCUUGGUUCUGGCAUCGAUGAAGAACGCAGCAAAAUGCGAUAAGUAAUGUGAAUUGCAGAAUUCAGUGAAUCAUCGAAUCUUUGAACGCACAUUGCGCCCGCCAGUAUUCUGGCGGGCAUGCCUGUUCGAGCGUCAUUUCAACCCUCAAGCACAGCUUGGUGUUGGGACUCGCGUUAAUUCGCGUUCCUCAAAUUGAUUGGCGGUCACGUCGAGCUUCCAUAGCGUAGUAGUAAAACCCUCGUUACUUUUUCUCGCUGGCCACGCCGUUAAACCCCAACUUCUGAAUGUUGACCUCGGAUCAGGUAGGAAUACCCGCUGAACUUAAG